CGGGGAAUUUUGGACAAUGGGCGAAAGCCUGAUCCAGCAAUGCCGCGUGUGUGAAGAAGGCCUUCGGGUUGUAAAGCACUUUUGUCCGGAAAGAAAUCCUUGGCUCUAAUACAGUCGGGGGAUGACGGUACCGGAAGAAUAAGCACCGGCUAACUACGUGCCAGCAGCCGCGGUAAUACGUAGGGUGCAAGCGUUAAUCGGAAUUACUGGGCGUAAAGCGUGCGCAGGCGGUUUGCUAAGACCGAUGUGAAAUCCCCGGGCUCAACCUGGGAACUGCAUUGGUGACUGGCAGGCUAGAGUAUGGCAGAGGGGGGUAGAAUUCCACGUGUAGCAGUGAAAUGCGUAGAGAUGUGGAGGAAUACCGAUGGCGAAGGCAGCCCCCUGGGCCAAUACUGACGCUCAUGCACGAAAGCGUGGGGAGCAAACAGGAUUAGAUACCCUGGUAGUCCACGCCCUAAACGAUGUCAACUAGUUGUUGGGGAUUCAUUUCCUUAGUAACGUAGCUAACGCGUGAAGUUGACCGCCUGGGGAGUACGGUCGCAAGAUUAAAACUUAAAGGAAUUGACGGGGUCAUAGCUGUUUCCU
rnacentral:rRNA from 1 species